CUUUUCUUCAGUUGGUAAGCUAUAUCCAAUUGCAUUCCAUGACAGGUUCUCCGAGUUUUCGUUAGUCUGGAGGGAAGAAAAAGAAACACCGCCAUGUAGAGAAGAAUUUCUGCUGAAGAAUAAUUAUAUACAGAAAAAGACUCCGCUAAUUAAGAGUUUUAGCUGCAAUUCUUCAGUUACUGCAGUCGAUCAUAAAUAAGACGACGAAACCAGUUAGUUUGCGUUCGCUGAUUGCAUUCUUGAACCCUGACUUGGUCAAUGUUUUAUUGAGAAGGCAUAUGAAAGAAGGGAGGAACUUCAGAAGAUAAUAUCAUUCCUAGAACAUAGAAGAAAAGACAAAAUAACACAACUUCAAAGUCCAAGGUCAAAUGAGCCGGCAUUUUAAUUUCAAAGACUAACAGAGCUCUUUCUUCAGAAGGAAAAACAAAGUUAAAGGAGCUCUAGGAAGUUUACCAUUGAAUAAAAGAUGUGGAGGGAGAAGACCUUGACCAUCACAAAAACUAUCCUCAGAGGAAUAAAAAAAUUUUCCUUGUUCCAUCUCUUAAGAACCUCUUCCCUCUUCUCCACAGGCAUGUCCGAGAACUUGUUGAUGAAUGGGAAUCCCCCACGGAGGCUCAGGAACCCACAGAGGACGAGCGUGCCCAGCUUGGUAGCAAGGAGCCAUAGAACCAAUUUGACCAAAAGAACAGCCUCUCUCAGGCCUCUCUUGACCAAUAACUCUGCAACCUGUUUUUUUUUUUUUU